UCGAAGUAGUCUUACAUAACCAAACCAGUCGCUCGACCGCGCGACCCGUGAGUUAUGUCGCUGCCAAGUGCAAGGGCAAGGUAGUCGCCAUUUCACGGCCGAACAUUAUGUUGAAAUUAUAAUCGAACGAGGAGUAACGAACUAAAGAAAAUUGAUCUGGUGAAGCGUAAAAAAUUGGCAAUUUGGAUAUCAUCGAGUGAUUACUCGCGUCCGUGGGAACAUCGAUUGGAUCGUUCGCGGUCGGAUAACUAUCGAAGUUUGGAACGCAAAAAAGGGAUCGAGAAUCGAGAUAAUGGCGAACGGAGCAGUUCCCCUCUCCCACCUCCUGCAGGAAUGCUCCAGACUAUUUUUAGUGAUCAAACCCGAGGCCGACUCGCCUCGCGAACGCUUAGUUAAUUGUCCUCCAGACUAACGCUUUGUCCCAACUCCAUGUAAUUUAAAAACCAGCUCUAAAUUCUUGCACUGCACUUAUCUACAGUUUCCAGACCGAAUAAAAAGUAAAGAUGUUCUACGAACAACAGA